UGCACAGUAACGAAAGCGCAGUAACGAAAACGCAGUAACGAAAGCGCAGUAACGAAAGCGCAGUAACGAAUACUGAGUAACGAAUACAUACUCGAAAAGUAACGGGUAGUUACAAAUACGCAAAAGUAACGAAGUUUGGCACCACUAGUGGGUAUUAUUAUUUCUACUAGUACAUGUAUACAAUAUAAAAAUGAAACGUUUAUGCUUAAAUAUAGUUAAAGCGCAUUUAAAGAAAGGCUGAAAAAUUCAGUCACACGGUGAAAAAAUUUUCUAUUACGUGGAUAUGAUUUGUUUUAUGAUGCAAGUCCUAGUUUUAUUAAAACUUUACCAUGGGCAGUUUCUUCAUACCAUAACAUUGUCUGUGGGAUGCAAUAAAUAAAAUAAUUGUUUAACAUAAUAACUAAUUAAAUGCAUUAAAGUUACGCUCUGACUCACUCUAAAUGUAAACGCCAAAUCAAUUGUUAAGAUAGUCUACCUUUGCAGAUACAUAUAUCAGUUAAAGUGGAAUUCCAAACAGUAAGUUGGUAAAUAUUUUAUAACAUUUUUCCAGUAUACGAAAACCGUGAUAUUCUUUAUUUCGACUUCCAAUUUACUAACAACAAUGGAUUUAAAGAAUCGGAACGAUAAGACAAUCCAGCACCAUGUAACAUAGAGUUAUCGGAUAAAAACCGUCGACUUGAAUUUAGAUGACUAGACAAAAAAAGAAGAAGCAUGGGUAUAAAGAACUCUUAUAUGACCUAGACAGAUCACGUCUCUUACGUCACAUCUCAUAGAAAUCAUAGAUGAACUUAACAUAAGUUUAGUUUAGAAACUUUAAAUUUUUCAAUUAAUGAAAAGUGAAUUUCAAGAAUUAUAUUCCAGAGAGAAUGCUGUGAGCGUUUUCGGGUUUAAUUACUUGAUUACCGACUGUUGGCUGUUUACGUGUGACAAUUCAUAGUUCCAAAACUCAUUAACCAGCAUUAAAAAUCUCUAUUGACUUUGUGGUAGCAUUUUAUUAAUACUUUAGUAUUUAUUAGAAUGGCUGCAAAAGCAAUUAGAUACUUACUAACCUAUAAACGCCAAUAAGUUAUAAUAGUACUGUUAUUAUAAUAGCCAAUCGAUAUUCUCCCCUCGCGUGAAUAGCAUACCAACGAUGCAUGGCAUUGUACUAAAGUGCUUCGUGCUUCGAUUAAAUAGAUGUGCUUAAUUUUUAGGAACUCUGACUUCAACUACAGAUGGCAUAAGUAAGAUAAGUAUAAACUUCGGGAUGGUGAAAACAGCGACAUUCAGCCUUUUUAACUGUAUGUGGCACUGCUGCUUUUGAAAUCGAAGGAAGCAAGAUUCUCAAAGAUAAAAUUAAUUAAGAACUACUGGAGAAGUACGAUGAGCCAAGAGAGACUCAAGUGGCAAUUCUAUCAAUUGGUGAAAAUUAUGAUAUAAUUUUAAAAAUAUUCA